CAUGAUUUAGCACGCAUAAUGGAUUGACAAUAAGGAAUAUGGUAAACCAUGAAAUUGGUGUGGAAUGACUAAAAGAUAUGGUUGUGUGAAUACUAAUGGACUAGUAUGAGAAUGGGUCAUAGUGAUGCUAUAAUGUUGCAUGUUUAAGUGUCUAAAUAUAUCAUGGGAUAUGCCAUUGAACAUAUGGAAGUGUAUGAUUGUUUAAGGGUGACCAAUGGCCUGGAGAGUAGCCUCUAAAUGGUUCACACGGGUAGACACACAGGCAUGUGUCUAGGCCGUGUGUGACAUAGGUUCAGCCCUAUUGGCGUGUCAUUCGGCCGUGUGUCCCCUGCA
rnacentral:lncRNA from 1 species